rnacentral:misc_RNA from 1 species
AAGGAGCUUUAAAAACUCCCAAACCCACUGUUAAACAUACCUUUACGUUGCUUCGGUAGGCAGCCCCAGGGCGGGGCUGUAGCCUUUUAGGUGCCUACCGGAGGUUUUAAACUCGUCAUUUAUAGUGUCUGAGUAUCUAUACAAAUAAAUCA